CCUGAAGUUGGCGGCCGCUGAUGAAGCCAUAGGCAGGACUCGAAGGCCUGCAGCGAGGCCUGACCAUCAGCCUCCCUGGCAGGACCCCUUGAGGGACAAGGACGCCUCUAGCAGGAAGGAUCUGGGAAGGUGGCCCAACAGGCCAGGAGCUGAGCACACAGCAGGGCGGAUGAGAGUGAGGCGCUCCGGCCAGAUCGGGUCUCAGUCCAGCUUUAACACUUCCCAGCUCUGACACUGGGGACAUGGAUUUGCUGUUCCAAGCCUCAGUGUCCUUGUCUGUAAGAGUGUAAUCGUGCCUACUUUUUAGGCUGUUGAGAGAGCCAGAUGGGAUAAUAAUAUGACUAUCAGCUGUGAACAUGGUACCUGGCUUCUAGUUAAACAUCAGCUAUUGUCAUUGCAGGAUGUACGCUGAUUACUACUGAGCACCGACUGUAUGCCGGGUGCCUUCGUGGCACUUCUCGGUUGCACGCUGGUUAGUAUUGAGCACCGACUGCAUGCCGGGUGCCCUCACGGCACUUCUCGGUUGCACGCUGUGAGCCAGAGGCCAAACACAGCACACGUUGUCUCUGAAAAGAAGAGGAUGGACCAGCCUAAGAAGGAUGAGGGCAGAUACCUGCGGUUUCUGGGCUAAGACGAACCUACAGGUAGCUGCAAAUCUGAGAUGUGCCCAGGUGUUCCAUGCUGACGGCCUCCUUGUCUCCUGCAGAAUCCAGGUAUUAAAAAUGCCAGGAGCCGAGAAGCCCCCUGCCCCGCUCCCAACAUUCCUUCAGGACAGUUUUGCUGACACAGCAUUCCUCUGGGCCAGGGUGAAGGCCCAAAGUCCCAACCAAUGAUGAUUUCCUGUUAACCCUUGGACUAAGGGUUGAGCCCUGGAAUAUCCCCCAGGGAUUCCGGAGGCCUUCUUCUUGCGUUUGUUUACAAUGCAUGGCCCUCUUCCUUGCCAAGAGGAAGCCCAGUUUUAUUUACAUUUCAGUGUCCCAGAGGGUGGAGGGGACCACCGGGCACCUUUGUCCCCAGGCUGAUUCUGGGCUGCUGCUUGCAAAUGAGGAAGCUCUAAACUGCCCAGAAGUCAGACACUAGUAGAAUUUUGAAGCUGGAAGGGGUGCCAUUUCACAGAUGGGGAAUGAGAGGUCUGGAGAUGCCUAGAUUGGACCAGGGCCUGAGCCAGAUCAUCCGGGAGGAUCCAGGGAUCCUGGCCUUGUCCUGCCAUGGACGGUCCCGUCCCCAUCAGCAGACUGGCGACGUGGACCAGACGUUUGCCUCGCACGGCUACUCGCCCUGGUGGUCAAGAGUAGGGCCUGGAGCCCGACGUCCUGGGUCUGAAUUCUGCUUAGCCCCUUUGGACGAAAACUUAACACUCAAUGCCACUUCUUUCCUGUAUGUGAAAUGGGGCUGAUCACCACAGUUAACCCUAAGCGCCUCGCACCGCAAGUCCCUCUGCUUGUUAAAUAAAUACAAUGGAUCUCUACACAUGCACAAUAAAGACACGGAAACAGUUAAUC
rnacentral:lncRNA from 1 species